UACGGAGGGGGCCAGCGUUGUUCGGAAUUACUGGGCGUAAAGGGCUCGUAGGCGGCCAACUAAGUCAGACGUGAAAUCCCUCGGCUUAACCGGGGAACUGCGUCUGAUACUGGAUGGCUUGAGUGUGGGAGAGGGAUGCGGAAUUCCAGGUGUAGCGGUGAAAUGCGUAGAGAUCGUAAGGAAGGCCAGUGGCGAAGGCGAGUUCCUGGACAGUUACUGACGCUGAGGCACGAAGGCCAGGGGAGCAAACGGG
rnacentral:rRNA from 1 species